UACGUAGGAGGCAAGCGUUGUCCGGAGUUACUGGGCGUAAAGCGUGCGCAGGCGGUUUGUUAAGUCCGUUGUGAAAGCCCCGAGCUCAACUUGGGAAUUGCAGUGGAUACUGGCAGGCUGGAGUACGGUAGAGGAAGGUGGAAUUCCCGGUGUAGCAGUGAAAUGCGUAGAGAUCGGGAAGAACACCAGUGGCGAAGGCGGCCGGCUGGGGGCGCCCUGACGCUGAGGCGCGAGAGCGUGGGGAGCAAACCGG
rnacentral:rRNA from 1 species